rnacentral:misc_RNA from 1 species
CAUGCAAAUACAUUGUCAAGUAUAUGAUCUUGUGAAUGAUCAAAAAUAAAAAUGGAGUUGUUUCAUGAUCAAAAAUAAAAAAGGAGUUGUUUCAUAAGAAAAAUCGAACACACAUUAGGUUACAGAUACAGAAUAGCAACUCUAAUUAUGAUUUCUAUUGUCUGAUUAAACUAGAGUUCAGGACUUAAAAUUUUGUACUUUGAAUAUAAGAAGAUCUAAAAACAAAUGAAAUUUGAAGGACAUAAUUGAUAAGUAAAUGGAAAAAAAAGAAUUUUCAAAAGUGGAAUUUCGACCAUAAUUUACAAUCAACCACAUCAAAUGAAGCAGAAUUCAAUUAAAAUUCUAACACAAUUUCUCCCAACUACAAUAACUAUCCAGCUAACAGUGGAAGUAAAUGCAAAUCAUCCUGCAUGGGGAUUGUUAUAUAUGAUUGAUAACAGAAUGCGCGCGAGAGGGAGGGAG